rnacentral:lncRNA from 1 species
CAUCUGCAAAAUAGAAAUCUCAAAAGUUAAGAACAUAAUACUUUGAAAACCAAACUCAUCAUCCUCUCUUAAACUGUAUCCCAGGUGAUCCUCCUUGCACUAAUUUGUAUCACUAUCUAUCAUGGUGAACAACUGAAAGCAUAGGCCCCAUCUUAGUCUACCGCCUUCUCUGUUUCCCUCAUAUUCAGUCAGCAAAUCCUGCUGUCACUGGUGGAGGGUCUUGACCAUGCAUCAUCCAGGUUCUUGGUGUUUUCAACAAAGAAUUGGACAAAACACACAAAGCAAUGAAAGAAUGAAACAAUGAAAGCAUAGAUUUAUUGUAAUAAAAGUACACUCCAUGGAAUGGGAGUAGGCUGGAGCAAACAGUUCAAGAGCACUGGUUACAGAAUUUUCUGGGGUUUAAAUAUCUUCUAGAGGUUUCCCAUUGGUUACUUGGUUACACCCUAAGUAAAUGAAGACUAGGCCUGUGACUGGUCUGAUU